UACGGAGGGGGCUAGCGUUGUUCGGAAUUACUGGGCGUAAAGCGCACGUAGGCGGCUUUGUAAGUUAGAGGUGAAAGCCCGAGGCUCAACUCCGGAAUUGCCUUUAAGACUGCAUCGCUAGAAUUGUGGAGAGGUAAGUGGAAUUCCGAGUGUAGAGGUGAAAUUCGUAGAUAUUCGGAAGAACACCAGUGGCGAAGGCGACUUACUGGUCCGGUUCUGACGCUGAGGCGCGAAAGCGUGGGGAGCAAACAGG
rnacentral:rRNA from 1 species